CAUAUCAAUAAGCGGAGGAAAAGAAACCAACCGGGAUUGCCUCAGUAACGGCGAGUGAAGCGGCAAGAGCUCAAAUUUGAAAGCUGGCUCCUUCGGAGUCCGCAUUGUAAUUUGCAGAGGAUGCUUUGGGUGCGGCCCCCGUCUAAGUGCCCUGGAACGGGCCGUCAGAGAGGGUGAGAAUCCCGUCUUGGGCGGGGUGUCCGUGCCCGUGUAAAGCUCCUUCGACGAGUCGAGUUGUUUGGGAAUGCAGCUCUAAAUGGGUGGUAAAUUUCAUCUAAAGCUAAAUACUGGCCGGAGACCGAUAGCGCACAAGUAGAGUGAUCGAAAGAUGAAAAGCACUUUGAAAAGAGAGUUAAACAGCACGUGAAAUUGUUGAAAGGGAAGCGCUUGCGACCAGACUCGCCCGCGGGGUUCAGCCGGCAUUCGUGCCGGUGUACUUCCCCGUGGGCGGGCCAGCGUCGGUUUGGGCGGCCGGUCAAAGGCCCCUGGAAUGUAGUGCCCUCCGGGGCACCUUAUAGCCAGGGGUGCAAUGCGGCCAGCCUGGACCGAGGAACGCGCUUCGGCACGGACGCUGGCAUAAUGGUCGUAAACGACCCGUCUUGAA
rnacentral:rRNA from 1 species